rnacentral:rRNA from 1 species
CGCUGGACCGUGUACAAGUCUCCUGGAAUGGAGCGUCAUAGAGGGUGAGAAUCCCGUCUUUGACACGGACUACCAGGGCUUUGUGAUGCGCUCUCAAAGAGUCGAGUUGUUUGGGAAUGCAGCUCUAAAUGGGUGGUAAAUUCCAUCUAAAGCUAAAUAUUGGCGAGAGACCGAUAGCGAACAAGUACCGUGAGGGAAAGAUGAAAAGAACUUUGGAAAGAGAGUUAAACAGUACGUGAAAUUGUUGAAAGGGAAACGCUUGAAGUCAGUCGCGUUGGCUUGGAAUCAGCCUUGCUUUUGCUUGGUGUAUUUCCUUGUUGACGGGUCAGCAUCAAUUUUGACCGGUGGAGAAAGGCCAGUUGAAUGUGGCAUCUUCGGAUGUGUUAUAGCUUCUGGUCAUAUACAUUGGUUGGGAUUGAGGAACUCAGCACGCCGAAAGGUCGGGGUUCGCCCACGUUCGUGCUUAGGAUGCUGGCAUAAUGGCUUUAAUCGACCCGUCUUGAAACACGGACCAAGGAGUCUAACAUGCCUGCGAGUGUUUGGGUGGAAAACCCGAGCGCGUAAUGAAAGUGAAAGUUGAGAUCCCUGUCGUGGGGAGCAUCGACGCCCGGACCAGACCUUUUGUGACGGAUCCGCGGUAGAGCAUGUAUGUUGGGACCCGAAAGAUGGUGAACUAUGCCUGAAUAGGGUGA